AUGGCAUACAAGAAGCUGAGCGACUUAACUAGAAGUGGACAGAAUUGGAAUGUUCAAGUGAAAGUAAUGAGAAUGUGGGAUUCAGUGAAUCCUACUACCGAUGAGCUUAUUAGCCUAGAUAUGAUACUGAUGGAUGAGCAGGGUGAAACAGUCCAUUCUACUAUAUGGAAGAAUCUUAUAGACACUUUUAGAUCAAAGAUCAAUGGAAAAUCUAUUUAUGCAUUCAACAAUUUUAAGGUCGUGGAAUCCACAAAAUAUUGGCCAGUGAGCAAUGAAAUUAAAAUAUUUUUUGCAUACAAUACAAAGGUAAAGGAAAUAAAAGGAUCUUCAAAAGUUCUCCUAGAUUAUUGCUUCGAGUUUGCUACCAUGGACACACUAGAAGAAAUGGCAGAAAAAGAUACACAAUGCUCAGAUGUCAUAGGACUACUAACUCAAAUGAAGCCAGUGGAGACAAGAAUAACAAAAAGGAACCCACAACCUUCAUAUAUCCGUGAGAUUGAAAUCCUAAUGCCAAAGGGUGAUAAAAUCAGAAUCACACUGUGGGGAAAGUUUGCUUAUUUUUUGACCGAGGAUGUAAUUGGCAGCCAAACUGUCCUUAUUAUCACAUCAAUGAUGGUGCAGAGAUUCAAUGGUUUGUGCCUAAAUUCAACGAGUGCCACAAGAAUAUAUAUAGAUCUAGAUAUACCAGAAACACAAGAACUUCUUGAUAGAAAAGGUCACACCUCGGAAUUGAUGGAUGAUGAGGUGGACACCGUUUUGUUGAAGAAGCAAAACAUGCCAGAUACAGAGGAGCCACGUGAAAGCACUGGGACUACACUAAACAAAGAUAAGCGUCAAGACAAAAUAUCAUCAUCGUCAUCACGUGAGCUCCGCAGUGGCACUAAAAGGAGAUUGAGAUAUGUUGUAAUAUCAGACGAGUCAGAGGAUGAAUGCACUGAGACGAAUAUGCCUCAACAAAAGGAAAAAGGUGUCCUCAGGAACAAGAAACAUGUUAAAGUAGAAGCCAAAAAUACAAUGGUUGAAGAUGAAGAUGAAGUACCGAAAUCGAAGGCCAGGAGAAAAAGGAUGUUAUCAAGAUAA
rnacentral:rRNA from 1 species